AUUGAACGCUGGCGGCAUGCUUUACACAUGCAAGUCGAGCGGCAGCGCGGGGGCAACCCUGGCGGCGAGCGGCGAACGGGUGAGUAACACAUCGGAACGUGUCCCAUGGUGGGGGAUAACCUGGCGAAAGCCAGGCUAAUACCGCAUGGUCUGGGGACAGCAAAGCGGGGGACCGCAAGGCAUCGCGCCCUGGGAGCGGCCGAUGUCCGAUUAGCUAGGUGGUGGGGUAAAGGCCCACAAAGGCGACGAUCGGUAGCUGGGCUGAGAGGAUGAUCAGACACACUGGACUGAGACACGGGCCAGACUCCUAGGGGAGGAAGCAGUGGGGAAUUUUGGAGAAUGGGAGCAACCAUGAGCCAGCCAGGCCGCGUGGGUAAAGAAGGCCUUCGGGUUGUAAAGCUCUUUCGGUGGGGACGAAAUGGCGCGGGAUAACACCCCGCGUCGAUGACGGUACUCACAGAAGAAGCACCGGCUAACUACGUGCCAGCCGCCGCCGUAAAAC
rnacentral:rRNA from 1 species